UACGUAGGGUCCGAGCGUUGUUCGGAAUUACUGGGCGUAAAGCGCGCGCAGACGGCCCGCGAGGUGUCACGUGAAAGCCCCGGGCUCAACCCGGGAGGGUCGUGGCAAACCGGCGGGCUUGAGGCCGGUAGAGGUGGGUGGAACUCCUGGUGGAGUGGUGAAAUGCGUAGAGAUCAGGAAGAACACCCGUGGCGAAGGCGGCCCACUGGGCCGGUACUGACGCUGAGGCGCGAAGGCGUGGGGAGCGAACGGG
rnacentral:rRNA from 1 species